GAUGAACGCUGGCGGCGUGCCUAAUACAUGCAAGUCGAGCGAACGGACGAGAAGCUUGCUUUUCUGAUGUUAGCGGCGGACGGGUGAGUAACACGUGGAUAACCUACCUAUAAGACUGGGAUAACUUCGGGAAACCGGAGCUAAUACCGGAUAAUAUCUUGAACCGCAUGGUUCAAAAGUGAAAGACGGUCUUGCUGUCACUUAUAGAUGGAUCCGCGCUGCAUUAGCUAGUUGGUAAGGUAACGGCUUACCAAGGCAACGAUGCAUAGCCGACCUCAGAGGGUGAUCGGCCACACUGGAGCGUAGCCGCGGACCUGACUCCUACGGGAGGCAGCAGUAGGCAAUCUUCCGCAAUGGGCGAAAGCCUGACGGAGCAGCGCCGCGUGAGUGAUGAAGGUCUUCGGAUCGUAAAACUCUGUUAUUAGUUAUGAACAUAUGUGUAAGUAACUGUGCACAUCUUGACGGUACCUAAUCAGAAAGCCACGGCUAACUACGUG
rnacentral:rRNA from 1 species